CUCUAUUAUUCAUCCAUAUGAAAGAGAGAAAGAGAAUGUCAGUUUUUUUUUUUUUGCCAUAAUGCGCGAGAAAGCUAAACACCGAAACCGAAUCUUGCCUUGUUCUACCCAUCAACAACAACAAUUCAUUUCUCCUUCAAAUCCCUCUCAAACUUUCAUCGCUUUCUGGAGAGGAAUGAUGGGUACCUUUGUAUAUUAGCUGUAAGAAGUUCAGAUUUGACUCAUUUUUUUCCACUAAACUGACACGUGAACUAUGAGGUGGUUUAGAGCGAGCGCUGCUGUAGCAAAAUUGGCCAUUAAGAGAAACAUAUUGCAGGGAGGAUCAUAUGUUGGGAGACCAAGGAUCAGUACAUCUCAAAGUCGAUAUUUUCAUUCGACACCUUUUAAAUCAAGAGCUCAAAGUGCUCCAGUUCCACGUCCUGUUCCUCUUUCUAGGCUUACUGAUAGCUUCUUAGAUGGAACUAGCAGUGUUUACUUAGAGGAACUUCAAAGGGCUUGGGAGGCUGAUCCUACCAGUGUUGAUGAGUCAUGGGACAAUUUCUUCAGAAACUUCGUGGGCCAGGCUGCCACAUCUCCUGGCAUUUCUGGCCAAACAAUACAAGAGAGUAUGCGUUUAUUGUUGCUUGUGAGAGCAUAUCAGGUUAAUGGUCACAUGAAAGCCAAGUUGGAUCCAUUGGGAUUGGAAGAAAGGAAAAUUCCUGAUGAGUUGGACCUUGCACAUCAUGGUUUCACAGAAGCUGAUCUUGAUCGGGAGUUCUUCUUGGGGGUGUGGAACAUGGCCGGGUUUUUGUCUGAGAACCGUCCUGUUCAGACCCUCAGAUAUAUUGUGACCCGUCUUGAGCAAGCAUAUUGUGGAAGCAUUGGAUACGAGUACAUGCACAUUGCUGACCGUGAAAAAUGUAACUGGUUGAGGGAUAAGAUUGAGACACCAACACCAACGCAAUACAAUGGGCAGCGGAAAGAGGUUAUUCUUGAUCGUCUUUUAUGGAGCACACAAUUUGAAAACUUUUUGGCAACUAAGUGGACCACAGCAAAGAGAUUUGGGCUUGAGGGAGGGGAGACUUUGAUUCCUGGGAUGAAGGAAAUGUUUGACAGGGCUGCAGAUCUUGGAGUUGAAAGUAUAGUUAUUGGAAUGCCUCAUAGAGGGAGAUUAAAUGUCUUGGGCAAUGUUGUCAGGAAGCCACUUCGUCAAAUAUUUAGUGAGUUUAGUGGUGGUACAAAGCCUGUAAAUGAGGUUGGGCUCUAUACAGGAACCGGUGAUGUGAAGUAUCACUUGGGAACUUCUUAUGAUCGACCAACUAGGGGUGGGAAGAGACUUCACCUUUCGUUGCUUGCUAAUCCAAGUCAUUUGGAAGCUGUUGAUCCUGUGGUUGUUGGGAAAACACGGGCAAAGCAGUACUACUCAAAUGAUAUGGAGAGGAAAAGAAACAUGGGUGUUUUGAUUCAUGGAGAUGGUAGUUUCGCUGGACAAGGUGUUGUGUACGAGACUUUACAUCUCAGCGCUCUUCCUAACUACACAACUGGUGGGACUAUUCACAUUGUUGUAAACAAUCAGGUAGCUUUUACCACUGAUCCAAGGUCAGGAAGAUCCUCUCAGUAUUGCACUGAUGUUGCCAAAGCCUUGAAUGCACCCAUUUUCCAUGUGAAUGGAGAUGAUGUGGAGGCAGUUGUUCAUGUAUGUGAGCUGGCUGCAGAAUGGCGCCAAACUUUCCACUCAGAUGUAGUUGUGGAUUUGAUUUGUUACCGUCGUUUCGGGCACAAUGAGAUUGAUGAGCCAUCUUUCACCCAGCCUAAAAUGUAUAAGGUUAUUAGAAACCAUCCUUCAUCUCUUGAGAUUUACCGAAAGAAACUUUUAGAAUUGGAGCAGGUGUCUCAAGAAGACAUUGAGAGGAUGCAAUCCAAGGUCAAUUCGAUACUUAAUGAAGAAUUUGUUGCCAGCAAAGAUUAUGUUCCUAGAAAGAGAGAUUGGCUUUCAGCGUAUUGGGCUGGAUUCAAGUCCCCUGAACAGCUCUCACGUAUUCGAAAUACAGGGGUUAAACCCGAAAUCUUGAAAAAUGUAGGGAAAGCUAUUACAUCUCUUCCAGAUCACUUCAAGCCUCACAGGGCAGUCAAAAAGGUGUAUGAACAACGUGCCCAAAUGAUUGAAACUGGGGAUGGCAUUGACUGGGCCCUUGGAGAAGCACUUGCUUUUGCCACAUUGUUAGUGGAAGGUAACCAUGUUAGAUUAAGUGGACAGGACGUUGAAAGAGGCACCUUUAGCCAUAGACAUUCAGUUCUUCAUGAUCAGGAAACAGGAGAGAAGUAUUGCCCUCUUGAUCAUGUUAUCAUAAACCAGAAUGACGAGAUGUUUACUGUCAGCAACAGCUCUCUUUCAGAGUUUGGUGUUCUUGGAUUUGAGUUGGGUUAUUCAAUGGAAAAUCCCAAUGCAUUGGUAAUGUGGGAGGCUCAAUUUGGUGAUUUUGCUAAUGGGGCUCAGGUAAUAUUUGAUCAGUUCUUAAGUAGUGGAGAAUCGAAGUGGCUGCGACAAACAGGACUUGUUGUGCUACUUCCGCAUGGCUAUGAUGGGCAGGGACCUGAACAUUCAAGUGCAAGAUUGGAACGCUUUCUUCAGAUGAGUGAUGACAACCCUUUUGUUAUACCUGAGAUGGACCCUACUCUUAGAAAACAAAUUCAAGAAUGCAAUUGGCAAGUUGUGAAUGUUACAACUCCUGCUAACUACUUCCAUGUUUUGAGGCGUCAGAUUCACAGGGACUUCCGUAAGCCUCUCAUUGUGAUGUCUCCCAAAAAUCUACUUCGUCAUAAAGACUGUAGAUCCAAUCUAUCUGAGUUCGAUGAUGUGAAAGGCCACCCAGGUUUUGAUAAACAGGGCACUAGAUUUAAGCGCCUUAUCAAGGACCAAAACAUGCACUCUGAUCGUGAAGAAGGUAUCAGGCGUUUGAUUCUUUGCUCUGGAAAGAUUUAUUAUGAACUAGAUGAAGAGCGGAAAAAAACCAAUGGAAAGGACAUUGCUAUAUGCCGGGUUGAACAGCUAUGUCCUUUUCCAUAUGAUCUCAUUCAGCGAGAACUGAAGCGGUAUCCAAAUGCUGAGAUUGUUUGGUGCCAAGAGGAGCCAAUGAACAUGGGUGCAUAUACCUACAUCAAUCCCCGUCUUGGUUCUGCCAUGAAGAGUCUAUCCAGAGGAACAAUUGAAGACAUAAAAUAUGUCGGUCGUGCUCCAUCUGCCGCUACAGCCACUGGCUUCUAUCAAGUUCAUGUUAAAGAACAAACCGAAAUUAUCGAGAAAGCUAUGCAACGUGACCCAAUCCCAUAUCUUCAUUGAAGUCCUUCCAGAUUCCUUUAGUCCUGACGCAAGACAACUUUUUCCCUCUGGCAGCGGCUACUUCCAUUGUGUAAUAUCAUCUUUUAGUUACCAUUUUGAGAGUAUGAGAUGGAUUGCAUUAUAUAUUCAUAAGAAUUGGGAUUUCCACAACAUGGCUUGCAAAGCCACACUUGCUCUUGUGGAGGCUGAGAGGGAAGGCACUUUUCAUUUUGAAUGCUCAUACUUGAACUAUUAUUAUUCUUUCUUAUUUUCUCCUCUCUUUAAUCAGGUGAUGAAAGGAGAUGAACUUUAGGUGUUCUCUUAUUAUAUUGAUCCCUUUUUAAGUUUAAGAAGAAGCUUCUGAUUCCUCACCAACAUCUGCUCCACUCAAAAGUCUAAUUGGAGAUCCAACUUAUGCUCUAGUUAAAGCUUUUGCGGCUGCCGAAGUUGGAGAUCAGAUAUUACGGCAAUAUGGCUUUGAUUCCUUCAAAGAAGUAUUGCUUAGAAUCAGAGUUAAAUUCAUCGAAGAUCACUGCUGCCUGUCUUUUGAAGGUUCUUGCCUAAUUUGGAUUCCUCUACCACUUUUAUAAGUCUCGCACAGGCCUUACCUAUUUGUUGGAAUGUCCUAUGUUCCACAUAUGUAGUGGAAUUCCUCUAAAUGUGGUCCAACCACUGUAGCUUGAGAUAAGUUUUGGGGUGACACGAAUGGCGUGGGACCAUUUUUCAAAUUUGACAAAAUACUUUUCAACAGUAAACCGUCCCUUGUUUUGACAAAGUAGUUGGCGGGAACUAGAGAUUUGAAGUUUACUGAGGCCUUCUCAGCAUGAAAGGCAAUGAAAGUGAAAUCUUCUUCAGUUUGUUUUUUCA